GUAGUCCUACGGGGCGCAGCAGCCGAGAAUCAUUCACAAUGGGGGAAACCCUGAUGGUGCGACGCCGCGUGGGGGAAUGAAGGUCUUCGGAUUGUAAACCCCUGUCAUGUGGGAGCAAAUUAAAAAGAUAGUACCACAAGAGGAAGAGACGGCUAACUCUGUGCCAGCAGCCGCGGUAAUACAGAGGUCUCAAGCGUUGUUCGGAAUCACUGGGCGUAAAGCGUGCGUAGGCUGUUUCGUAAGUCGUAUGUGAAAGGCGCGGGCUCAACCCGCGGACGGCACAUGUAACUGCGAGUCUAGAGUAA
rnacentral:rRNA from 1 species